rnacentral:rRNA from 1 species
UACACGCUGUGACUAGCAUAUCAAUAAGCGGAGGAAAAGAAACUAACUAGGAUUCCCUCAGUAACGGCGAGUGAAGCGGGAAGAGUUCAAAUUUGAAAUCUUCAAGGUUCUACCUUGACGAAUUGUAGUUUAAAGAAGUGUUUUCUGUUGGAGUUUUGGUAAAAGUUCUUUGGAAUAGGACAUCAUAGAGGGUGAGAAUCCCGUAUUUGACCAUUAUUUCCAGCUUUGUGAUACACUUUCAAAGAGUCGGAUUGUUUGGGAAUGCAGUCCAAAAUGGGUGGUAAAUUUCAUCUAAAGCUAAAUAUUGGCGAGAGACCGAUAGCGAACAAGUACCGUGAGGGAAAGAUGAAAAGAACUUUGAAAAGAGAGUUAAACAGUACGUGAAAUUGUCAAAGGGGAAGCGUUUGACACCAGUGUUGUUUUCUCGAAAAUCAAUUAAAAAAGGCAGGAUUUUGUGUUGUAUUGACUUUAUCAGCUUUCUGCACUCUUUUCUUGUCUUUUUUAAUGCACUUUUCGUUUAACAAGUCAACAUCAAUUUCUUUUGUUGUAAAAGGGUCAUUGGAAGGUGGCUUUCUUUUCGGAGAAAGUGUUUAUAGCCUUUGGCCUCUGCAAUCGGAGAGAUUGAGGUCUGCAGCGUAGAUCCUUCGGGGUUAGAUACAUUUGUGCUAAGUUAUAGCCUUUCAUUAGACAACUUGUUGACUAUGAUCAGUCAUGUAGCUUACUCGCUUAUGCUAUUUUACCUACGCUUAGGAUGUUGAAGACUCUACAGAGAUA